AGGCACAGAAGGAUCACCAAGUGGGUUUUACAUAGGGAGAUUACCGUUGAGGACUUGCUUGCUGCUAAUAUCAAUAACAAUGGUUUCAUUAGCAAAUCAGAAUAUGUAAUCUACAAGCUGAAAGAGAUGGGAAAGAUUGGGGAGAAAGAUAUAUUGCAGAUAUGCAAUCAAUUCAGCAAACUAGACCCCAACAACUUGGGAAAGAUAACCCUAACUGAUCUCUUGGAGAACCGUUUAUGACAAACUAUUUUAGUACGAUUUUUUUCAACAGAAGAAGCUUGGGAGGAGGACAAAGGGAAGUAAGAACCUGAGAAUCUUCAUGCAAGAAGAAAUGCUGGCAUACAUGCACAAUUGUUGUCCUAUCUAGCAAAAGACGGUAGCCGAUUAGCCAUGGCAAGCCGGUUCACGAGGAACUGUACAGCCAUGGGAGGUCACUUCUUGGUGAUAAUACAAUGAUGACAGGAGAAAAAAAGGAAUGAAAACACAAGGUUGCCUUCAUGAACUCACCCAUCCUCCAGCCCUAUGACCCAAAAUUUAGAUCUUGUGUCCUGGGACCUUAAUUGUGUAUAACAACUUGACAAUGUGAUUAUGCAUUGAUACUGAACUAUUCCCAAGGGGAAAAUGCAAAAUGCAACCAGAAGAUUAUACAACCCAAACUUAACCC
rnacentral:misc_RNA from 1 species